rnacentral:rRNA from 1 species
AGAGUUUGAUCCUGGCUCAGGAUGAACGCUAGCGGCAGGCUUAACACAUGCAAGUCGAGGGGUAACAGAGAAAAGCUUGCUUUUCUGCUGACGACCGGCGCACGGGUGCGUAACGCGUAUACAAUCUGCCUUAUACAGAGGGAUAGCCUUUAGAAAUGAAGAUUAAUACCUUAUAGUCUAUAUAUAUAGCAUUAUAUAAAUAGUAAAGCUUCGGUGGUAUAAGAUGAGUAUGCGUCCUAUUAGUUAGUUGGUGAGGUAACGGCUUACCAAGACAACGAUAGGUAGGGGCCCUGAGAGGGGGAUCCCCCACACUGGUACUGAGACGCGGACCAGACUCCUACGGGAGGCAGCAGUGAGGAAUAUUGGACAAUGGAGGCAACUCUGAUCCAGCCAUGCCGCGUGCAGGAAGACGGCCCUAUGGGUUGUAAAC